rnacentral:rRNA from 1 species
AUUGAACGCUGGCGGCAUGCCUUACACAUGCAAGUCGAACGGUAACGGGCCUUCGGGUGCCGACGAGUGGCGAACGGGUGAGUAAUGUAUCGGAACGUACCUUUCAGUGGGGGAUAACGUAGCGAAAGUUACGCUAAUACCGCAUAUUCUGUGCGCAGGAAAGCAGGGGAUCGCAAGACCUUGCGCUGAUUGAGCGGCCGAUAUCAGAUUAGCUAGUUGGUGAGGUAAAGGCUCACCAAGGCGACGAUCUGUAGCGGGUCUGAGAGGAUGAUCCGCCACGCUGGAACUGAGCCACGGUCCAGACUCCUACGGGGGGCGGCAGUGGGGAAUUUUGGACAAGGGGGUCAACCCUGAUCCAGCCAUGCCGCGUGAGUGAAGAAGGCCUUCGGGUUGUAAAGCUCUUUCGGCCGGGAAGAAAACGUAUCAGCUAAUACCUGGUGCGGAUGACGGUACCGGCAUAAGAAGCACCGGCUAACUACGUGCCAGCAGCCGCAGUAACAC